rnacentral:rRNA from 1 species
UACGUAGGGGGCAAGCGUUGUCCGGAAUCAUUGGGCGUAAAGAGCUCGUAGGCGGCCUGUUGCGUCCGCUGUGAAAGCCCGGGGCUUAACCCCGGGUCGGCAGUGGAUACGGGCAGGCUAGAGGUAGGUAGGGGAGAAUGGAAUUCCCGGUGUAGCGGUGAAAUGCGCAGAUAUCGGGAGGAACACCGGUGGCGAAGGCGGCCACCUGGGCCGGAACUGACGCUGAGGCGCGAAAGCGUGGGGAGCAAACGGG